CUGACUUCACCAUGAUUCUCAGUCCUUGCUUCACGAAGAUAAUUGAGUACUUGCUGCCUUGAAAUACUGAGCAGAGUUGGCAUAAGAAUUUGAUUUCCUGCAUAAGAGAGGAGGGCAGUCCCAGGAAAGGCAGUGCACCUUGGAUUCCUUAGAAAGCAGCAAGAGAAAAAGGUGUGUUUUCAAGACGGGAUGUCGACAAGGAUGGCACAUCUGUGUACGGAGACCCCCUGUGCACAGGCGACUUCAUUUCUACAUAGCUGUUUUCUGGAAGCUUGCAGUUUCUUCCUGUUUCCCCCGGCUCCUCUGGUAUCUCUGAAUGCAAAGUGUGUCUGCAGCAGCUUCACCUGACCUUCGACAAGAACACUGUUUAUCUGGGAGGGAGGAGGGCCAAGCUCUAAGCCUGUUUGUGGCUAUCCCGUGACUGACUCAGUUAUGGCAGUGGGAGAGCCCUGGAGCUCUAGCUCUGUGCCUGAAAGAGCCUCAGGCAGGCAAUAGUGCCCCUCUGUUCAUUUCACCAGAAGAGUCAGAGCUGCUUCCAAAUGUGUGGGGGGGAGGGGGUGGGGGGGGAUAAAUUGUUUGCUCUGCAGCAGGGGAUGCACCUAAGUGGAUGAGAGAGAAGUUAGGGUUGUGGGGGAGGGGAUUCGUGUUAGGGAGAAGCUGUAUCUUCCAUAAAGGGGCAAGUGGUAAAGACAAGGAUGGAGUGUGUGUGUGUGUGUGUGUGUGUGUGUGUGUAUAGGGGAGAGUGUUGAGUUAUGAAUAAUUGGGUUCCUGUUUGGGAACUGGAAGUGGGGAGAGGGCUAGGCAAGCUGGGAAACUGCUUUUGGAAUCUGCUCUUUCUCCAGCUGAUUUAUCUACCUGCCUGCCCAGAGGGAGGGCAUGAUGAGGGGGAAGAGUAACCAGCUGCUCUAAGAUACUUCCCCAUCCUUUUAGAGCUCCACCCUCCCCCCCACCCCUUUGUGCUUCAGGGCAUUUUGCAAAGGGGAAGCAUCAACCAAGGCUACCCAAGCUCUGGAGAGUCGCUCCCCCAAGACUUGUAAUUAGCAAUUAGCAUCAGUACUCUAUAAUGCCCUGGUAUUUGCUCUCACCUUGUUCUACCUCCCCCCAAAUCACAGGCAGCCAUAUACUAUGGGAGGCAGAAGGGGCCUCUGAAAUGAGCUAAUGUAAACAUUUGAUGAAAGGAAGCAGCAAUUCUGAGGGGAGGUGACUUUCCAAGGCCACCUUGUGAGUGGGAUCUGAAUUUGCCAGGGCUUUUGGGUUCAACUGUCUAGUUAAGGCCAAUAUACUGCUGGGAAAACCCGGGCACUGUCUUAGCUGCCUGCUCUUAUCAGAAGGCCACACUCUUCCUGGGCCUAAGUUAGCAUCCUUCUUGUGACUGAGAAAUGAGGAUAUGCGGAGAGGGAAGGGACAUCUCAGUUAGGACAGCCACAUUAGCUGAAAAAAGUUUAGCAAUGCCAGUGGGUUCCUAACUACCUUGGAACCCAGGGAAACUACAAGAAGAGACUCGGUUAAAUUACCAAGGGGCAUAAGAUACGAAAAGUGGCAGUAACAGUGGAAAUCAGUUUCGGGACAUAAAGGUGAUGGAGAGUUUUAGGGAAGAUCUCUCCUACAGCAGUUUGAAAUGCCUGACAGACAAGGAGUUGAAUGUGAGGUAGUUUGCAGUUUGUUGCAGAAUCGUGAUGAGGGUGAGAAGUGGAAGGGACAGCGAAAGGUGUUUGAGAGGUGACAGCCGGUUAGCACAGCAGUGUGUGGUCUCAUGUGACCCCCCAGAACGACAGUGAGUGGGGGUCUUCAGUAGAGAGGAACAGGGGAAAGAGAGGGAGUAUUGGCCGAACUCGUGACUUCCAGAACGUCGCCCUGGAAAGGGCCCAGAGUCGGUGUUUGUGCAGCGCUGUCCUCCUGGUAGAGGGGUGCGCCUAGACCCAGAAAACAGCGCUGUGACCUGGUCAGCACCGCACCACACCGCACAGCACAGCAAGAACUAGGGCUGGAAGCCACGUCUUACCUCCCACGCCAGGGCUCUUUCCGAGUUAGAGAACACUUUGACUCUUCAUUCUUAAUGGUUUGGCCAGUAGGUUUAGAAAAUGAUUUCAUUCCUGGUACAAACUAGUUUAUUAAGUGUUUAUUUGGGAGUUCAGCCAGUUAGUGUGGGUUUAUUUCAUGUCUGAUAAGUCCUUCUGUAAAGAUCUGUAAAGAUUUGAAUUGUGACAUUCCAUUUUCUUCUCUGAAUUCUUUUGUUCACAUGUGUUGGUUCCCAGUAACUGCUGGUACCUUUGCCUACACAGCCCUCUUUGCUCUGUAAUGUAAAGGGCAUUUGUAGCCAGAGUAGUGAAACAAUAUCUGCACUCAGAGGCUCAAAUGCGAGCACAUGACCUCACAAAACAGGAAUGAAUGACGCUGAGGCACAGACCAUGCUCUCCUUAGUUUUUGUUUCACAUUCGGUCACAAGUCUAAAAGUAGCUACUCUAGUCACAAUGCACAGGACAGCGAAGCGCGUAGGGAAGUUGUGUGCUCAUUUAUUGAGGUGCCUGGGCCUGUCCAAGCUUGUUCACGAUUGGGUCAUGCAUAUUCUCAGAGCUAAAAAGGCCCUUAAACGAUAUUUCUGCCCAGUCCUUAUGCCUUUUUGAGACAGGAACUGAGGUCUCGGGUGACAGUGCUAAAGCAGCAGAGCCGUCUUUUCUGUAUCAAGCCUUACUUGCUGUAACGGCACUUGUGUUCACUGGGAUGGUUUAAGUCAAAACUCAGAGAAUUGGCAGAAUGGUGCUCCCAGGGGAGUAGUGUCCUUUGGCCGGGAGCCGAGGGAUGACCUCCUGUCCUCAGACCAUUCUCCUGAGCAGUGUGCCUCCUAACGUGUGCUCAUGGAGGCUUGCCCUUCCUGUUCCCGUGCUCAGAACACAGUUCUCACCGCCAGCACACCCCCAGCACACCCUCCAGCUUACGCCAUUUCUAACA